rnacentral:lncRNA from 1 species
UGCAAAUGUUGCACCCAACAUGCACCCAACUCCCAUCUAAUAGAUUUCACUUGUUUGCUUUCUUCUUCCUGUAACUUGUGCAAGCUUUCACCGAGCACCUGUCUUACUAAAGACUUAGAAGCCACAACGUCUUCGACAUAUGCACCAUGUAAUUUAUGUACUUGGCUAGAUGACUGAGGUGCAGCCACAACGUCUUCAACAUCUGCACCAUAUAAUUUAUGUACUUGGCUAGAUGACUGAGGUGUUGAUGACUUGUGCAAUAGCAUUCUCAAGCUG